rnacentral:lncRNA from 1 species
GAGUGCAAGCAGUUUUGAGAUAAUAGAUCAUAUCUAAUAGUUCAGAACAUUAAUAUAGACUCAUAUUGUCCAAUUUUUGAUCUGAUCGUAUCUGAGCCUAAAUCCAGUUGACCUUAAUUUUGUGCAAAUAGGUAUUAAGAGUAUAUUUGAUUUACAUCCAGAAUCAUAAUUGAAAUAAAUUGGAAUGAAAAUCAAAAUGAUCAUUCUCCUAAUGCGUUUAGUUCAUAGAGAUUGAAUUUUGUAAGAUUAGAACAUUCUCAUUUUCUUUAGAAUCGGAAUAGCAAUGAAACCUCUCCAA